UAUAUAUAUUUCUAUUUUAUGUUAUAAUUUGAUUAUGUUUUCGGAUCGGAUCGUGUCAAUACGCCGUUUUCACAUAUACGUGUAUGAGGCGUGACAUUUGUGUUAUCCGAUCCAGUUGCGAUGAUCGCAAUUUUGCGCUAGCAACGCCGUUGUUUUUUUUAAUUCAUUUUUUUUUUUAUAUAUACAUAUAUUUAGAUCUGCACAUUUUUUUUUCAUAACUAACUACCCUGAUUUUUCCUAAACCCUGACAAUUUCGCCACAAACUCUAAAUUUCAAACCUAAAACUUUAACCGUGUUGUUUCCUCUAAACCAUAAACCUUUUCUUAAACCUUAACAAACCUUAUUAUUAUUUCCUAUUUUCGCUCAUAUUUAUGUUAUUCAUACACUGUAACUGCUUCGCCCUUGU
rnacentral:lncRNA from 1 species